rnacentral:rRNA from 1 species
GGGGAAUUUUCCGCAAUGGGCGCAAGCCUGACGGAGCAAUACCGCGUGAGGGAGGAAGGCUCUUGGGUCGUAAACCUCUUUUAUCAGGGAAGAACACAAUGACGGUACCUGAUGAAUCAGCAUCGGCUAACUCUGUGCCAGCAGCCGCGGUAAUACAGAGGAUGCAAGCGUUAUCCGGAAUUAUUGGGCGUAAAGCGUCCGCAGGUGGUUUUGGUAGUCUGCUGUCAAAGCGCGAGGCUCAACUUCGUAUCGGCGGUGGAAACUCCAAGACUAGAGCUAGGUAGGGGUCACGGGAAUUCCCAGUGUAGCGGUGAAAUGCGUAGAUAUUGGGAAGAACACCAGCGGCGAAAGCGCGUGACUGGGCCUGAGCUGACACUCAUGGACGAAAGCUAGGGGAGCGAAAGGGAUUAGAUACCCCUGUAGUCCUAGCCGUAAACGAUGACAACUAGGUGUUGCCCGUAUCGACCCGGGCAGUGCCGUAGCCAACGCGUUAAGUUGUC